UCUCUCCUUAUCUUUCCCAAAACGAAGCCCCCUUCCUUCUCUCAUUGUUGCACUCAACGCACCCUCCUCCUUCACCUAGAGCUCGAUUCCCUUUCUCCCAGCUGCCCUCUCCAGCUCCUCCAUGGCCCAGCCCCAACCCACUACAUCUCCUGACUAUGUGUGGUAGGAAGAAGAUGAAGAAGUUGCAAGAGAAGGAAAAGAGUAGGAGAAUGAAGAAGAAAAGAAGAUCCAUGCAUCCCUGCCCAGUUCCCCCUUGUUCAAGCAUCAAGGCAGGUUGUAGCACCACAGUGCAGGAGGUAGCCUCGCACCACCUCCCUCGCACCGGUUGAGGCAAGCACAUCGGGUACAACUUAGUGAUGUUUUGCAAGUGGUUUGAAACGCGUAGCUUCCACAGAUGUGCACUCACAAACUAAAACACCCUUGUAUUCACCUAGCUUUAGCAUGACAACUCACAUGCUUUGGCUUAUGGUUCAUGAUCGCUAGGUUUGCUUUGUGUAUAAAGUAUAAACCUGGUUUGUUUGUUGUCAUGGCAAUUAAGGUUGUUCAUCUAUGGCGUAGCGGGCUGGGACUUCAGCAUCUAGCUCGAUCCAUAUGUGUUGUAUGAGAUUGAUUAUGCUUCCGCUUAUGGUAUUCUUAUAUGUA